AGAGUUUGAUCCUGGCUCAGGACGAACGCUGGCGGCGUGCUUAACACAUGCAAGUCGAACGAGGUCCUUCGGGGCCUAGUGGCGAACGGGUGAGUAACACGUGAGCAACCUGCCCCUGGCUCUGGGAUAGCCUCCGGAAACGGGGAUUAAUACCGGAUAUGACCUUUUCCUGCAUGGGUGAGGGUGGAAAGUUUUUCGGCCAGGGUGGGGCUCGCGGCCUAUCAGCUUGUUGGGGGGGUAACGGCCCACCAAGGCGACGACGGGUAGCCGGCCUGAGAGGGCGACCGGCCACACUGGGACUGAGACACGGCCCAGACUCCUGCGGGAGGCAGCAGUGGGGAAUAUUGCGCAAUGGGGGGAACCCUGACGCAGCGACGCCGCGUGCGGGAUGAAGGCCUUCGGGUUGUAAACCGCUUUCACCAGGGACGAAGCGAGAGUGACGGUACCUGGGGAAGAAGCGCCGGCUAACUACGUGCCAGCAGCCGCGGUAAUACGUAGGGCGCGAGCGUUGUCCGGAAUUAUUGGGCGUAAAGAGCUCGUAGGCGGCCUGUCGCGUCUGCUGUGAAAUCCCGGGGCUCAACCCCGGGCGUGCAGUGGAUACGGGCUGGCUAGAGGCAGGCAGGGGAGAACGGAAUUCCCGGUGUAGCGGUGAAAUGCGCAGAUAUCGGGAGGAACACCGGUGGCGAAGGCGGUUCUCUGGGCCUGUUCUGACGCUGAGGAGCGAAAGCGUGGGGAGCGAACAGGAUUAGAUACCCCCGUAGUCC
rnacentral:rRNA from 1 species